AAAAAAAAGAAAACUAUUGAAAUAAAUGUAUUGUUAGAAUUUGAAUGCCUCAGCACUCUGCUGAACCCACACGUGCAUCAAAGCUUGACGUAAGUAAAUUUUAUGCAUAAAGAAACCGUUUAAGAAGCUGUUUUAAAUUCCCAAGAGCAGAAAAUCGUGCGCUUUACAAAGAUAUUUUAAUUUCUUAAUAAGUCAAUAUUUAAUAUAUGCACCCUUGUCAAUAUUUUACGCAUCUUUGCGUUCAGCUUCGUGCUAGGGCAUUCAAAUUUUAACAAUACGUUAUUUCAAUGGUUUUGCGGGGUUUUUUGGG